GCACCGGUGGUAUAAUGGUGUAGAGCAUUCCCGCCCGGUGAGCAGGAGGUGCGGGUUCAAGUCCCGCUUGGCGCU
rnacentral:tRNA from 1 species